rnacentral:rRNA from 1 species
CAGAGUUUGAUCCUGGCUCAGGAUGAACGCUGGCGGUGUGCCUAAUACAUGCAAGUCGAGCGAACAGACGAGGAGCUUGCUCCUCUGACGUUAGCGGCGGACGGGUGAGUAACACGUGGAUAACCUACCUAUAAGACUGGGAUAACUUCGGGAAACCGGAGCUAAUACCGGAUAAUAUAUUGAACCGCAUGGUUCAAUAGUGAAAGACGGUUUUGCUGUCACUUAUAGAUGGAUCCGCGCCGCAUUAGCUAGUUGGUAAGGUAACGGCUUACCAAGGCAACGAUGCGUAGCCGACCUGAGAGGGUGAUCGGCCACACUGGAACUGAGACACGGUCCAGACUCCUACGGGAGGCAGCAGUAGGGAAUCUUCCGCAAUGGGCGAAAGCCUGACGGAGCAACGCCGCGUGAGUGAUGAAGGUCUUCGGAUCGUAAAACUCUGUUAUUAGGGAAGAACAAAUGUGUAAGUAACUAUGCACGUCUUGACGGUACCUAAUCAGAAAGCCACGGCUAACUACGUGCCAGCAGCCCCGGUCAA